rnacentral:rRNA from 1 species
GAUGAACGCUGGCGGCGUGCCUAAUACAUGCAAGUCGAGCGAACAGACGAGGAGCUUGCUCCUCUGACGUUAGCGGCGGACGGGUGAGUAACACGUGGAUAACCUACCUAUAAGACUGGGAUAACUUCGGGAAACCGGAGCUAGUACCGGAUAAUAUAUUGAACCGCAUGGUUCAAUAGUGAAAGACGGUUUUGCUGUCACUUAUAGAUGGAUCCGCGCCGCAUUAGCUAGUUGGUAAGGUAACGGCUUACCAAGGCAACGAUGCGUAGCCGACCUGAGAGGGCGAUCGGCCACACUGGAACUGAGACACGGUCCAGACUCCUACGGGAGGCAGCAGUAGGGAAUCUUCCGCAAUGGGCGAAAGCCUGACGGAGCAACGCCGCGUGAGUGAUGAAGGUCUUCGGAUCGUAAAACUCUGUUAUUAGGGAAGAACAAAUGUGUAAGUAACUAUGCACGUCUUGACGGUACCUAAUCAGAAAGCCACGGCUAACUACGUG